ACCAAAAUCAAUCUUUGGAUGUGCCUCUCCUUGAACACGUUAAAGUUUAUAAGUUUGUUUUAUUUUAGGGUUUUGUUGGCUGAAACCUUCUAUUAGAUUUUUAUUUGAUUAAUGGUCGUGCUUCUGUGUGUGUUUUCUUUUCUUUUUUUGUACAUGAUCGACGCUUUUUUUCUCCUUUGACAACACGGGUAACAUCUAUACUAUCAAAACCAAGAUUUUUUCUUGAUAUUUCUUCGUUCUGUAUGCAGGUUAUUUUGCAAGAUGUUGUUGUAUAUUUUUUUACCAUGCCAGAUCCCCAAAAUCACGCAAAUAGGAGGAAAGCAGUGUAUACUACGACAUGAUCGUGGUUAAAAUAUUAAAUCAUUCGCAAUGCCGGGAUUUCUCAAAAAGAAAAAAAAAAAAAAUUAAUGGCAAGUUGUGGUUUACAAGAUCUUUUUGAUUUUGUUGUGUGAUCUGUGUCCAUUAUUUGUUGUAAUCGAUUGGCAAUUGUGUGAUCUCUGGCUGUUGGUUGUUUCACAGAUAUUCAUAGAAAGUAUGAUGCUUGAUGUAUUUUUUUGGAGCAAAAAUAUCGUAAGAGAAAAUCAUGGAGAUAUCCAUAAAUAUGAUGGCUAUCCAAAAUUUUAUAAAUUGGAUGAAUUCUAAGAUAUUGCCUUAUUAUUUCAAAGUUGCAUGAAUUUUAAGAUAUUGCUUGAUAGUAUUUCCAAAAUAUUUGUGACUCUUUAUUUAAAGCUCUCGAGCGGAGUCCAGAUUUGCUUGUUUGUCAGGUUUUUUUCUUCUGUUUUCUGCUCUUUGGGGUUUUUUCAUCUGGUAUUUUCUCCUUUUAUUGUUGUUUGCCUUGCAUGUUUGUCGGAAGUAUAGUAGUUGGUGCUGAUGACUGACGCAAUGGGACGGCAAUGAGAGGUACUUCUUUUGGAGCUUUAUGGCGAUGAAAAAGACUAUUUCAAGAUGUUUGGAUACUUUUUAGCGGCUUUUCAGGGUAGUCGAUGCAAUUUCUAAGUAUUUUUAUUUUUUUGUUUGAUUUUAAUCAUCUUGCUUCACUUUUGUUAUUUUAAUUGUUUAUAGCAAAAUAACUUGGUUUCUCUCUACCAAAACCAAAACCCCAUUGUUUCCACGCCCCAUCUGUUUUCUUAGGUAGCUUUGAAUCUUUUUUUCUUUUUUCCAUAUAAUUUUGUUGUCUGAUGAGUCCGUUGUUUGUUUCUUUUGUAUAUCAGAAGUGUAAUUAUGCGUUACAGAUGUUAUUUCAAUGUGAAUAAUAAUAAAUUGUCUUAUGGAAAAUGAAGUCGAAGACAUGAAAAAAUGGUAAAUCCCUUUUUCUCUGUCAACUUUACAAUGUUUCUUCAAUAUUAAAAAUAGAUUCUUGCAUGGAAAGAAGUGUGAUGGCUCUCUUUCAAAUCUUUCAUAUAUAUAUACACACAUGGUUAUUGAUCUAAAUGUUUUAUGGAUCCUAUUCUAUGGGAUUAUACACAAGAUACUCUACAAGUGCCAACGUGGAAGAGAAUGAUUUUUUUGAAGGCAGCGAAUAAAGUUUCAAGUGUUGAUAUUUCUCCUUCUAGACGAAUAUUAAUGUAAGCAUACCAAACCAACUUUCUAAUGAUUAUUUGAAUUAUUUGAUUUUCUGACCAUGAAAAAAAAAUGGUAUUGAUCAUUACUGUAUUUAGUGAUGGUUAUAUCGUUGCAAUUCUUUAUUAAUUUAGAUUUUUACAAUGUUUUCUUCUGAUGCUUCCUACCGUUAAUUUCUUCAAUAUUGUUUAUCUCAAACACACUAGAACCGUUACUGGCGGAAUUUUUAUCGUCAUAAUUAAUAUUCUUAGUUGUACUACUUUUACAACCUCAUGUAUGUAAUCAAAUACUUACCGGGAGAACGGCAGAUGGAUACUAUCCAAAUUUUUUUAGCUCCAAGAAGAAUGGUCUCAUACUCUCUCUCAACUUAACUUUUCCAUUAUUGGGUUUCGUUUGGGAAAAGUUAGAACGGGAAUCAGCUAGCUUCAUCAUUGUACCUUCAUCGAGUAAUGCUUCAUAAAAAUGAAACUAUUUUACGAUCAUGAACGUUCUCACUCACAUUCUUAUUGGAAAGAUGUUGUUAUCAUCACGGUUCGGUCGGAUCAUUUUAUGAAACCGAAUAAUACUUAUUUAUUAGGGCUAUUUUGCAUUUCCUUCCCUCCCAAGAUCGUUAAUUAGCGUUUCCUCCCUAAAAAAAUUAAAAUUAGUGUUUCCUCCCAUCGUUAAGUAUUCCGUCCAAACCUUGGUUAGCUGACUCAGCACCAGUGCACACAUGGCAUAAACAAAUUUUUUUUAUUAGUAAACUACCCAAAAUAACCUCAUACCAAGAUUAAGAAGGUUGCUUCCUCAACCAACAGCACCAGUUCUUCAUAAUUGAAAUUCUACCAUUAAUCACCGUUUCCUUCAUCAAAUUUACGAAAACUAGGUCAUCUUCUUGUGUCUUGAAUCUUGAUUUCAAAUAAACCCAUAGCAAAUACAACUACCAGAUCCAUUCCCACUAAUCAAAACUUAUUCUUAAUCUCACAUCCAUCUAUCACCACAGACUCCUCCAUUACAGAAACAACAACCACUUCAGUAGCAUAAGCAAAUUUAAGUCUCUUUCUUUGUUCUUUUGUUUCUUUAUUUCAGAUGAAAUGGAAUGAACAAGAGAAAUAUAUGUUGGAUAUGGAUUUGGCAGUAUAGUGGAUGAGAUUUAGGGUUUGAGCAGAAUUUGGGGAUUAUUGUUAGAAAAUUCAAUUGGGUUCGAUUGAGAAGGUUCAUGAAGCUGUGAUGAUAUGGAUACAUGGGUUAUGUUUGAUUUAGGAGACACAGAAGGUGUAGUCGUGAACAAGGAAGAGAAAUGGGUUGUUAAUGGUGGCUGCCAACUGAUUUUGGAACGGAAUUUGGGGGUUUUCGAUAUGAAUCGAUCUUGAGUUUACCACAUAAGUAUGGCUUGAUUGAUUGAGUUGUUAGCUUGGAUGUCUAGUUUAUGGAUGAAUAUUCAAUGAAGUAAAGUGAACAGCUGUGAAGAAAAAUGGUGUUGGUCGUGGUUGUAUGUGGAUCUGCAUAUAUGAAUGGAAGAUGGGUAAACUAAUGGGAGGCAGUGGUGGUCGUUAUAAAGCUUCCUCUACAACAACAGAUGAUGUUUGAUUGGUGCUAAUUCUGUGUAAUUGGGUUUGGUGAUGAUUGAAGGGGCCUGUGUGUUCUUUCCGAGCAGAAGAGAGAUGAUGAAUGAUUUUACAAGUUUUUGAAGAUUAGCAGCGAUGGGAAGAAUAGGAGAUGGUGUUGUGGAUGUUAAAUCACCACCAUUCAUUAUUUCACUUUAUCUACAACCGUUAGAUUAAAUUAGUAUGUGAGGGUAAUUUAGGUACUUCUGGUUACACGUGUAUAAUUUAUGCCACGCAUGCACAGAUGCUGACUCAGCUAACUGAGCAAUGGAUGGAAUACCUAACGAGAGGAGGAAACACUAAUUUUAAUCUUUUUGGGGAGAAAACGCUAAUUAGUGAUCUUGGGAGGGGAGGAAACUCAAAAUAACUCUAUUUAUUAACUUUCAGCCGGAGAGGUCUUUAUCCAUUUUGAUGACAUCAACUGUGUCAUCAUCUAGGUAGUACAUUUUUUUGUUGGGUAAUUAUUUAACUUCUUCUUCUAUUAUUUGUUUGAACUGAGGCCUUAACACUCUGCAAAAAAGAUAGCGACAUUCUCUCAUGUCUGUACGACAGGCCUUCCAUCAAGAUUGCUAGAAGAAAUUAAGAUUUUCUUCCUUAUCAUGCCAACCUACGUCAAGUGCUUUUUUUAUUUUGUAAGAUGACUUUUCUUUCCAUUCGGUGCAAAUUUUGAAUGAAUCAUGAGAGUUUUUGUCUAUAAUUUUGUAUUGUUGGGGAGCCGUUAAGGGUUGGUUUUGAUAGGAUUGUAUAUAAAGUAGUCUAUAAAGUGUAUAACUAUUUUGCUUGGAUUUUGCUGUUUAAUUUUUUCUUACUUCUAAGUCCAUAAGGUUUUGAGACUUCUGCAAGUAUAGGGAAGUAUAGAAAGUUCAGUGUAGGGCAUAAAUCUUUAUACUUGAUGGAGUGGUGAUUGUUUGGAAAAAUUAGUUGUGGAUUUGUGAAGUCUUGCUUAAAUUUGUUAGCAUAACUUGGUCGGCAUUUAUGCACCACAAGUAUAUACAAAUUAUUU